UCUGCCCGGCCUGUUGCCUUCUCUGUGGUGCCCACGGCAGCCGCCGCUGUGUCUCUGAAGGUGGUGGCUCGAGGGUCCUUCGAGUUCCCUGUGGGAGAUGCGGUGUCUAAGGUGCUGCAGAUUGAGAAGGAAGGGGCCAUCCAUACAGAGGAGCUGGUCUAUGAACUGAACCCCUGGACCACCGAGGCCGGACCUUGGAAAUUCCUGGCAACUCUGAUCCCAAUAUGAUCCCUGAUGGGGACUUUAACAGCUACGUCAGGGUUACAGCCUCAGAUCCACUGGACACUUUAGGCUCUGAGGGGGCCUUGUCACCAGGAGGCGUGGCCUCCCUCUUGAGGCUUCCUCGAGGCUGUGGGGAGCAAACCAUGAUCUACUUGGCUCCGACACUGGCUGCUUCCCGCUACCUGGACAAGACAGAGCAGUGGAGCACACUGCCUCCCGAGACCAAGGACUACGCCGUGGAUCUGAUCCAGAAAGGUUCUGGGUGCAAGGGCAAGCAGGAGGGGGCCAGGAAGGACAGUUACUGGAAGUUGGACAGCCCAGGAGGCUACAGAGGGAAAGAA
rnacentral:sRNA from 1 species